GUGGGUGUAGUCAAGUGGUUAAGACACAGGAUUGUGGUUCCUGCAUGCGUGGGUUCGAACCCCAUCACCCACCCCA
rnacentral:tRNA from 1 species